GAUCAUGGCUCAGGACGAACGCUGGCGGCGUGCUUAACACAUGCAAGUCGAACGAGACGAUUUAGAAGCUUGCUUUUAUUGAGUCGAGUGGCAAACGGGUGAGUAACGCGUAGACAACCUGCCGCAAAGAUGGGGACAACAGUCCGAAAGGACUGCUAAUACCGAAUGUUGUGUCUUUUCCACAUGGAAGGGAUAUUAAAGAUGGCCUCUACUUGUAAGCUAUCGCUUUGCGAUGGGU
rnacentral:rRNA from 1 species